GGAGAGGUGGGUGAGCGGUUGAAACCGCUGGUCUCGAAAACCAGUCUCGGGUUUACCUGAGCGCGAGUUCGAAUCUCGCCCUCUCCGCCA
rnacentral:tRNA from 1 species